rnacentral:rRNA from 1 species
AAAUCGUACCCCAAACCGACACAGGUGGUCAGGUAGAGAAUACCAAGGCGCUUGAGAGAACUCGGGUGAAGGAACUAGGCAAAAUGGUGCCGUAACUUCGGGAGAAGGCACGCUGAUAUGUAGGUGAAGCGGUUUACCCGUGGAGCUGAAAUCAGUCGAAGAUACCAGCUGGCUGCAACUGUUUAUUAAAAACACAGCACUGUGCAAACACGAAAGUGGACGUAUACGGUGUGACGCCUGCCCGGUGCCGGAAGGUUAAUUGAUGGGGUUAUCCGUAAGGAGAAGCUCUUGAUCGAAGCCCCGGUAAACGGCGGCCGUAACUAUAACGGUCCUAAGGUAGCGAAAUUCCUUGUCGGGUAAGUUCCGACCUGCACGAAUGGCGUAAUGAUGGCCAGGCUGUCUCCACCCGAGACUCAGUGAAAUUGAACUCGCUGUGAAGAUGCAGUGUACCCGCGGCAAGACGGAAAGACCCCGUGAACCUUUACUAUAGCUUGACACUGAACACUGGUCCUUGAUGUGUAGGAUAGGUGGGAGGCUUUGAAGUGUGGACGCCAGUCUGCAUGGAGCCAUCCUUGAAAUACCACCCUUUAAUGGCUGGUGUUCUAACGUGGACCCGUAAUCCGGGUUGCGGACAGUGUCUGGUGGGUAGUUUGACUGGGGCGGUCUCCUCCUAAAGAGUAACGGAGGAGCACGAAGGUUAGCUAAUCCUGGUCGGACAUCAGGAGGUUAGUGCAAAGGCAUAAGCUAGCUUGACUGCGAGAGUGACGGCUCGAGCAGGUGCGAAAGCAGGUCUUAGUGAUCCGGUGGUUCUGAAUGGAAGGGCCAUCGCUCAACGGAUAAAAGGUACUCCGGGGAUAACAGGCUGAUACCGCCCAAGAGUUCAUAUCGACGGCGGUGUUUGGCACCUCGAUGUCGGCUCAUCACAUCCUGGGGCUGAAGUAGGUCCCAAGGGUAUGGCUGUUCGCCAUUUAAAGUGGUACGCGAGCUGGGUUUAGAACGUCGUGAGACAGUUCGGUCCCUAUCUGCCGUGGGCGCUGGAGAAUUGAGGGGGGCUGCUCCUAGUACGAGAGGACCGGAGUGGACGCAUCACUGGUGUUCGGGUUGUCAUGCCAAUGGCAUUGCCCGGUAGCUAAAUGCGGAAGAGAUAAGUGCUGAAAGCAUCUAAGCACGAAACUUGCCCCGAGAUGAGUUCUCCCUGAGACU